rnacentral:rRNA from 1 species
CCUACGGGAGGCUGCAGUGGGGAAUAUUGCACAAUGGGGGAAACCUUAAUGCAGGGAGGCGGGGGGAAGGAAGAAGGUUUCGGGACGGAAAACUUUAAUAACAGGGGAAGAAGAAAGGGACAGUACCUGAUUAAGAAGCCCCGGCAAACUACGUGCCAGCAGCGGCGGUAAUACGUAGGGGGAAAGCGUUAUCCGGAACCACUGGGUGUAAAGGGUGCGUAGGCGGUAGGGCAAGUCAGAUGUGAAAGCCCGGGGCUCAACCCCGGGACUGCAUUUGAAACUGUCUUACUAGAGUGCAGGAGAGGAAAGCGGAAUUCCUAGUGUAGCGGUGAAAUGCGUAGAUAUUAGGAAGAACACCAGUGGCGAAGGCGGCUUUCUGGACUGUAACUGACGCUGAGGCACGAAAGCGUGGGGAGCGAACAGGAUUAGAUACCCCGGUAGUC